rnacentral:rRNA from 1 species
GAUUUCUGGCUUGAAACAUUUUGCCGGCCACGGUUUCGUGUGUUAGUGCUUGAUGUUCUGGCCAUCCUUCCAAUUGCUAUUCACUUCUCUUCAUUGAUUGGUGAGUGGUAUUGGAUCUUUUACUUUGAAAAAAUUAGAGUGUUUCAAGCAGGCUUUUGCUAUGAGUACAUUAGCAUGGAGUAAUAAUUUAGGACUUCGGUUCUAUUUUGUUGGUUUCUAGUACUGAAGUAAUGAUUGAUAGGGAUAGUUGGGGGUGCUCGAAUUCAGCGGCCAGAGGUGAAAUUCUUGGAUUCGCUGAAGACGAACUCAUGCGAAAGCAUU